CUCUGAUUCGUCUCUUAAGUGUUCAGCUUUAUUCCCAGACAUAAUGGCAGUAAUCAAAGGACAGCAUGUGACAGCGAGGACAGUACUGAUGUGGACGCUCUCCUGCAGCUCACUGCAGAUCCGGUACUGUCCUCGCAACAAGGUGCGACGCAACGGACGGAUCCAGUGUAGACAGCGUCAUUGAAUAUAAUGGGAACGAUUUGCUUUUGUCGCAUCGCACUGCAUCUCUUGCGUCUGGUGUAGACAUCAGCAUUGGGAACGCUGGUUAAUUGUAGCGAGUCGAUUCUUUGGGAACACAGCAGCCAGUCAGGAAUGGAAUGAGUGUGUGAUGGAGGGCAGGUCACCACAGCAUCACCAUAAAUCUGCCAAGAGCUGAAGCACAAAAGACAGACACCUCCAACAUGCAUCUACUUCAGCCCCUGGGACCAGUUCCUUAGCUUUAGCCAAGCCAUUGUGCAACAAGUAACAUUGAUUGAUUAGUUUGACAAUUUUGUGCAAAUAUUCACCUACACAUCCAUGUUUAAUGUUUCAAGAAACUAGGAGAAAUUCAUUUAUUGUAGUAUAACUACAUAAAUAUUACAAUGGAUCUUUUCAGUACAAAUACAAGGUACAUUUGGUUAAAAUGGCAUAAUAUGAAAUAUUAGUUGAUAGAGAAAAUGUUAUUGCUUGCCCAUGCAAGGGUAUUGUGGGUGGUUUUUAGUGUGUUGCCAUGCGGUUGCUAGAGUGUUGUAUAAGUACUUUGGGUGGUUGCUUACAAUUGAGUCUACCUGAAUAAUAAAGUCCCCAGGGGGUAAUCAUUUUUAAUGCCUGAUUUAAAAAUUGUGUUAUCACGAUAACUAAAAUAUACUGUAUAUACUUAGACUGCACAGAAAUGACAUCCACACUGCUGUUCCCUUAUAAUUGCUGAUGUGCAUAUUGAUUGAAAGGUGUGUAAAUAUUAUGUAAUAUUUCUUGUAGUUCAGUAAGUCUGUUGAAUUAUUUCUGUAUUCAUACAUGUUACAUUGUAUUAUGUUUUGUGAUAUGACAGUGCACAACAGUUUAUCUAAUUUUCAUGAGAACGCUAAUUCUAAGUGUAAUUUUCUUGCAAGUGGGCAUGGAUGGGAGUGUUUGCACUGUCUGUGGGUGUAUGCGCGCAAACUGGGGGUGUAUUGUAUGUUAAUGAAGUAGCGGAAAGCACAAUUUUAUUUUUUUCUGAGAAACAGGUCAUUGGGCUAAGAUGUUUCAAAAUCAAGUCUGUUUUCAUUACAAUGUCUAAAUUCAGUUCCUGCAUUUGCAGUUUGGUGAUUCCACCAGCAGGUGAUAAUAAAGUCCAAAUCUCCAAACUCUAAAAAUAUAGUGGAACAUCAAAUUAUGUACAUGUUGUAGCCAUAUUUAUGAGAAUUGUGUUAAACUAUCUAUAAGUCAUGAUUUAUUUUUCAAUUAUUAUUAUAUUUACAGUUGUAUUUAUGAUAUAAUUUAUAUUGUUUUUUUUCCACCUGUUGUCGUCACUAAAAAAAGGGGCCGAUGGAAAAAC